UACAAACUGCCCAGGCAUUUCCUGUUCCAGGUGGUUUUGAGCAGAAAGCCAGCCAGCGUGGGCUGAAGGUAGGUGGGGUGAAAUUCUUCAGGAAUUGCUCCCAGCAAAUGUGAGAGUAAUUCAAAGUAAUUCAAAGUUACACUGGGUUGACUUCCAAAGCACCCAGCCCCGAGUGGAGACAAGGCCUUUUUGAACUAACUUUAGAAACAUAAUGAGUGUGGACCACCUUCAGGCUUGCCCGAAUCCAUCAGCCAGGCCCUGGAGUCCUGGGAUUAUGCCUUCUGGGUAAGAUAAGGCAGGAAGCCGGCUCCAACCUCCCACGGAGGCCCACUGCUUCUGGAGAGCUGAGCAGUCACCCCAAGACGUUAAACCAAUCUCCGUGGGAUGCAGGUUUGUUCCGAAGUGCAUACAACGUAGUGGCAACAACAGGCAGGUUUAACUUGUGUUCUCCAAUGAAAAGUCUCCAUCCGGCAGUCUCUGGCCAUGAUUGGACAGAGUAAUUCUGAGAGGCUCCAUGAACGGCAGCGAAAUCAGAGGAGGUGGAGACCCUGGAUGAGACACCAAGCCCCCUGAAGCUUCAGCUUGCCCCUCUAAGAAGGAAGCAGAGCAAGACCUUGCAGCCCAUUUAGGGAGAUUAGGGAUCGGCUCUCCAAGGCACAGCCGAGCUCCGUGACUGGGAGCCACUAUCGCGGAUGCUAUUGUUCUUUUUUUGUAUACAUGGCCCUCAGGCUUCAGGAGCUGAGGGACGAUCACAAGAGCUGGUUCUCCUGGGUGGCACCUGCUAGUUAGCACCUGUUGGCCUUAAAGUGAAUGUGAGUGAAAGGUCCAUUUGUGCCACAGGAAUGGGAAGUUGAGGAGUGAUCCAAAGGAUUCUAACAUCCUCUGUCAUUCUAAAAUUACCAUGCAAAAGUGGAGAUUAGGAAGACACUCCUAUCGCCAGACACUCAGGGCUGAGCCAGGCGGAGCAGCCAUGCUGGGAAAUCUCAGAAGCCGGGGUCGGAAGCCAAGGGACUUACUCGCAGGGACACCUUCUGGGCUUGAUGGAAGAACCACUACUUCGACCUCCAAACUGAGUACCUCUUGGAAUACCCAGACUGCGAAUUUUGAAUUAGGAUGAAAGAGUGACAGCUGGGACAGCUGAGGAGGAGAGUGCCAGGCGAGGCAGGGACACUGUCCAUGCAGGGGAGGUGAAAAACCAUGGGGCUGAUGAAAAUGCACAUGGAUGUCAACUCCAGGGAUGUCAAGGUCUUACCCUGGCAGCAGAAGCACGAGCGGCCGUCACAGCCUCAAGGAGGCAGGGUGGAUGGCAGGUGACCAAGCUAGGAGGAGGUGGCAGGGCAGCUUGGGACAGGGGGGGAUCCACAGAGUGUGGUGCCAGUGAUACCCCACGUGGGUGCUUGGAAAUGGGCAUGCCUGCCUUCCCCAAGGCAGGUGUGCGAGGAGCAUCUUAGCGUCAAAGCAUUUCCUAACUCUUCAACAGGACUGUGGUCUUCAUUGUAAACUUGCCUAUUAGAGAUUUGUUUUGUGUCUGUCUCAUUAGACUUUGAGUCUCUCAAGCAGAGACCAUUUCAAAGAAAGACUCCGACUUUUGCAUAGUCUAUAAAGGCAGGAAUGUAGACAAAGAUGUCAUUUUAAAAAAUCAGUGAUAAAAAUGGAAAUAAAAGGGUUUCAUGGGUAACUUCGAUUUAGCUAAAAUCAUUUUUGAAACUAGACAAAUCAUGUCUUACUUUUUCUUUCUUCAGUCUCAAUCAGCACUUUGCAACACAGGCUGAGAGAUGAUGACAUGAAAACAGCUCAGAAGAGGGGUGCCUGAGGAAGAUCAGCCACCUUGAGUUUAAGUUUAACCCAAGACAGGAACAUGGGAUUAAAGCUGGCAGAAGGGCAGGGGCCACAGCAUGUUCCAAGCCAGGAAGCUAAGAAGUCAUCCCCAGAGCCACUGGCAGCCCAAUGGGGCUUCCUGCAAGUUGGCCAAUGGCCUGCACUGCUCAGACUCAAGCUGCUCUCAGCUCUCCUGGGGUUACUUUGGGGGACUGGUAACCUGCCCCAAUUCCUCACAACUUCCUUCACUCUUCUAUGAUCCUCCUUCCUGUCCCAAGCUUGUCUUCCAUCAUUUUCCUUCCUGUUCCCGCCCCUAAUCCACCAUGGGGGUGGCUGCAUGUUAGUCAAAUAUGACAGCACUGUGUGGUCCCCUCUGGGUGCUCAUGUCAUUACAACACAGGCGUGAAACCAGCCAUAACCCGGGAGGAAUGACACUGAACCAAUUUACCAGACUGAUCAUCAAAAUCGAUUCUCAACACAUAAAUGGUGAGUCAAGUCAUUUGUGUUUUACCCAGAAAGCUGUGGGCAGGUUUAUCCUCCACCACACGGAUCCUCCGAGCUCCAGCAGGAAUGACGGCAGCUUCGAUAUAACCUGUAGCAACAAACGACACAGAAGUAAACCACACCUCCACCCUGCACCAGAGGCCGUGCAGCAUCCCCCGGCCAAAAUCUAGCUACCAAGCCCCCCACAGUGGCUUCAGAAAUGGAGGGCUGGCGCAGAAGAAGGAGGCUCUCCUAAGGCCAGGACCUCCCAGUGGCCCCAUUUCCAGAGAGCAGGAUUUGCACGUGUUUCAGGUUGAGUGGUGUCCCCCUCCUCCAAAUUCGUAUGUUGAAGUUCUAACUGGGCCCCCCCUUCAACCAGAACAUCAGCAUGUGACCACUGCAGACAUAUUAAGAUGAGGUCAUCCUGGAGUAGGUAGGCCUAAUCCAAAAUGACUGAUGUCCUUAUAAAAAGGGGAAGUUUGGAAACAGACAUGCACAUAGGGAGAAUGUCGCGAGAACAUGAAGGCAGAGAUGAAGUGAUGCUUCUACAAAGCAGCCAAGGAACGCCACAGACUGCCAGCAAACCACCAGAAGUUAGGCAAGAAGCAUGGAACAGAUCCUCCCUCGUGACCUGCAGAAGGAACCAACCCUGCUGACACCUUGAUCUCAGAUUUCUCAACUCCAGAACCAAAAGACAGUAAGUUUCUGGUGCUUAUGCCACCUAGUUUGCGGCACUUUGUUACGGAAACCAUAGCAAAAGAAUAUAGCCUGGUAUUCUGCGAGAAUGGCACCUCCCUGGUGCAUCAGUGAAUAGUGGCCCUGGUCUCAUUCAUCUGCUGGAGGGCCUUUUGCUCUUUGUUGUAUUUUGAACUUUCCCUGAACAUCCGUGGGAUGACAGCAGAAACCAAGCAAUUUACCCUAUGACGAAACUACAGUAUUGCCUUAACACACGGUGCACCGUUUCUUGCUUCCACCACCUUUGGCCAUUUCACUUGUAUAGUUUUGUCCAUUUCCUUGCAUGUUUUUAAGCAGAGUAGGGGGCCAGGACGGCAGGUAGGAAGUGAAGACUCAGGGAAAACAUGACGGAAGCUGCCAGGGCAGAAGCUGGCAACUGGCUAAUGCCUGGUUAAUAGGGUGAUUGCCAGUAAGUGAGCCUAACAUGACGGUGAGAUUCUGAAACGUAGGCUGGUAAUAAUUUUGGUUUGAUUUUUAUUUGGGAUUUAGACAAGCGUAUUAGGCGUUUGUUUCUGCGAUUCAGAUGAGGAUCUCAACUUAGAUUACAAAUCCUAGCCCUGUUGUUCCCAAUGUGAUCACCAGAAUCAUGAGCGGAGCUGUAAAAAAUUAGAGAUUUCUAGGUUCAACUAUGUGGAAAUCAUGGAAAUACCUAUUUUGAGGGGUUUAUUUAUUCAUUCAUUUUCUCACAAUAAAAUGGAUUUAUUUUUAUAAUAAAAAUAGUAUACAAAAGUUCAAACAACAUACAGCAGAAAACCAGAAUUGACCUAUACCACAUCACAAUGAGAAAAUUACCCCAAGAAAGUAAUAUUUUGGUGACCAGCCUUUUCAACACCUCUUAAUGCAUAUAAACAUACAUAUAUCAUUUUAUGUGAAAAGAAUAUUAUAUGUACUUUUAAAAGAUCAGUGACAACUUCAAAAUAAUUAGUUUUGCUAGGUAAUGUAUGUAUAAGGUACAAAAUUCAAAAAUUAUAAAAGGAUCAAGCAAAAAGUAUAUUGAUCUAUAGGCUAUAUGAGGUGUUCUGUAGCCAGCUACAUUUUUAAACUAUAAUAAUUUCUAUAUUUUGGCUGAGUUUCUAUGUAGCUAACUCUACAUCUGCUAAUAUGACAGUUCUGUUUCUUCCUUUCUAGUCUUUAUGCCUUUAGUUUCUUCUUUCACUAUUCUGGUUGCAAUUUACAAAACCACAUUGUAUGCAAAAUGCUAUUGCGGCAUACUCGUGUAAUUCAUGAUGUCAUAGGAGUGCUUCCGAAGUUUUCCCACCGAAAAAGAUUGUUACUGUGAGAACAGGAUAGGUAUCAUUAAUCUAUCAGGUUAGGGACAUUCUCUUGUUUAAAUUUUACUUUAAGUUCUGGGAUACAUGUGCUGAAUGUGCAGGUUUGUUACAUAUGUAUACAUGUGCCAUGGUGGUUUGCUGCACCCGUCAACCCAUCACCUCGGUUUUAAGCCCUGCAUGCAUUAGGUAUUUGUCCUAAUGCUCUCCCUCCCCUUUUCCCCCACCCCUCAACAGGCUGGGGGGUGUAUGUGAUGUUCCCCUCUCUGUAUCCAUGAAUUCUCAUUGUUCAACUCCCACUUAUGAGUGAGAACAUGCGGUGUUUGGUUUUCUGUUUUUGUGUUAGUUUGCUGAAAAUGAUGGUUUCCAGCUUCAUCCAUGUGACUGCAAAGGACAUGAACUCAUUCUUUUUUAUGGCUGCAUAGUAUUCCAUGGUGUACAUGUGCCACAUUUUCUUUAUCCAGUCUAUCAUUGAUGGGCAUUUGGGUUGGUUCCAAGUCUUUGCUAUUGUAAACAGUGCUGCAAUAAACACACGUGGGGACAUUCUCUUUUUGAAUACUUAGUGUGCUAAUAGCUUUUAUCAUGAAGAGGUAUUAAAGUUAAUAAAAUGUUUUUG
rnacentral:lncRNA from 1 species